UACGUAGGUGGCGAGCGUUGUCCGGAAUUACUGGGUGUAAAGCGCGUGUAGGCGGGAGGCCAAGUCUGCGGUGAAAUCGCUCGGCUCAACUGGGCGGGGGUCCGUGGAAACUGGUCACCUGGAGGACGGUAGAGGCGAGUGGAAUUCCCGGUGUAGUGGUGAAAUGCGUAGAGAUCGGGAGGAACACCAGUGGCGAAGGCGGCUCGCUGGGCCGGACCUGACGCUGAGACGCGAAGGCGUGGGGAGCGAACGGG
rnacentral:rRNA from 1 species